AUUAUUAUGGUUAUUUGGGGAUGUGUGUUUGUCUGCACAAUGCUGUGUUAUUCUGUGGUCCACUCGUUAUAUGUAUAGGCAGGGUGUGGGUGUAUAGGUGUGGCUGUAGGAUGGAGGACAGCCACCUGCAGGCCUGAUGGGUGUGGCCCUGCUGGAGGACUGGCCACACCUGAAGUCCCUGCCACACACCUGCUGCUGAUCUGGGCUCGUCGGGGGAGCUAUUUAGGAGAGUGUUGGAGCUCCCACCGGCGCGGGAUCAUUGAGCUAGACUCCAAGUGGAACGAGGGACCAGAAGGGCAGCACGCACAGGGUGUGCAGAAACACAACUGCCGGGAGCACGAGCACGGACGUCAGAGGGGAACACACACACGGGAGUCUAGGGAGCAAAGGGGGUUUAUUGUGCAUCUGUUACCUCACUGUAAAUAAACGCACUGUUCACA